rnacentral:rRNA from 1 species
UACGUAGGGUGCGAGCGUUAAUCGGAAUUACUGGGCGUAAAGGGUGCGCAGGCGGUUCUGCAAGUCAGGCGUGAAAGCCCCGGGCUUAACCCUGGGAAUGGCGCUUGAAACUACAGGACUGGAGUAUGGCAGAGGGAGGUGGAAUUCCACGUGUAGCGGUGAAAUGCGUAGAGAUGUGGAGGAACACCGAUGGCGAAGGCAGCCUCCUGGGCCAAUACUGACGCUCAUGCACGAAAGCGUGGGGAGCAAACAGG